rnacentral:rRNA from 1 species
GAUGAACGCUGGCGGCGUGCCUAAUACAUGCAAGUCGAGCGAACAGACGAGGAGCUUGCUCCUCUGACGUUAGCGGCGGACGGGUGAGUAACACGUGGAUAACCUACCUAUAAGACUGGGAUAACUUCGGGAAACCGGAGCUAAUACCGGAUAAUAUAUUGAACCGCAUGGUUCAAUAGUGAAAGACGGUUUUGCUGUCACUUAUAGAUGGAUCCGCGCCGCAUUAGCUAGUUGGUAAGGUAACGGCUUACCAAGGCGACGAUGCGUAGCCGACCUGAGAGGGUGAUCGGCCACACUGGAACUGAGACACGGUCCAGACUCCUACGGGAGGCAGCAGUAGGGAAUCUUCCGCAAUGGGCGAAAGCCUGACGGAGCAACGCCGCGUGAGUGAUGAAGGUCUUCGGAUCGUAAAACUCUGUUAUUAGGGAAGAACAAAUGUGUAAGUAACUAUGCACGUCUUGACGGUACCUAAUCAGAAAGCCAGGGCUAACUACGUG